GUGAGGAAUUUUCCGCAAUGGGCGAAAGCCUGACGGAGCAAUGCCGCGUGAAGGAUGAAGGCCUAUGGGUUGUAAACUUCUUUUCUCAGAAAAGAAUUAUGACGGUAUCUGAGGAAUAAGCAUCGGCUAACUCUGUGCCAGCAGCCGCGGUAAGACAGCGGAUGCAAGCGUUAUCCGGAAUGAUUGGGCGUAAAGCGUCUGUAGGUUGUUUAAAAAGUAUUCUGUCAAAGAUUAGGGCUUAACCCUAGAUAGGCAGAAUAAACUUUUAAGCUAGAGUUUGGUAGAGGCAGAGGGAAUUCCCGGUGGAGCGGUGAAAUGCGUAGAUAUCGGGAGGAACACCAAAGGCGAAGGCACUCUGCUGGGCCAAUACUAACACUGAGAGACGAAAGCGAGGGGAGCAAAUGGGAUUAGAAACCCCGGUAGUCC
rnacentral:rRNA from 1 species